CCUACGGGAGGCAGCAGUGAGGAAUAUUGGUCAAUGGGCGCGAGCCUGAACCAGCCAAGUCGCGUGAGGGAGGACGGCCCUACGGGUUGUAAACCUCUUUUGCCGGGGAGCAACGGGCGUCACGUGUGGCGCCACUGAGAGUUCCCGGAGAAAAAGCAUCGGCGAACUCCGUGCCAGCCGCCGCGGUAAUACGUAGGAUGCGAGCGUUAUCCGGAUGUAUUGGGUUUAAAGGGUGCGUAGGCGGGUCGUUAAGUCAGUGGUCAAAUGGAGGGGCUCAACCCCUCCCCGCCAUUGAAACUGGCGCUCUUGAGUGGAAGAGAGGUAUGCGGAAUGCGUGGUGUAGCGGUGAAAUGCAUAGAUAUCACGCAGAACCCCGAUUGCGAAGGCAGCAUGCCGGCUUCCGACUGACGCUGAAGCACGAAAGCGUGGGGAUCGAACAGGAUUAGAUACCCGGGUAGUC
rnacentral:rRNA from 1 species